rnacentral:rRNA from 1 species
UACGAAGGGGGGCUAGCGUUGCUCGGAAUCACUGGGCGUAAAGGGUGCGUAGGCGGGUCUUUAAGUCAGGGGGUGAAAUCCUGGAGCUCAACUCCAGAACUGCCUUUGAUACUGAGGAUCUUGAGUUCGGGAGAGGUGAGUGGAACUGCGAGUGUAGAGGUGAAAUUCGUAGAUAUUCGCAAGAACACCAGUGGCGAAGGCGGCUCACUGGUCUGGUACUGACGCUGAGGUGCGAAAGCGUGGGGAGCAAACAGG